rnacentral:rRNA from 1 species
GACGAACGCUGGCGGCGUGCUUAACACAUGCAAGUCGAACGAUGAAGCCCAGCAACUCUAACUUCGUUUCAUAUUUCACUUCUGAUUAGUGGCAGACGAGUGAGUCACUCGUGAUCAACCUACCUCUUACAACUGGAUCUCCUCGGGGAUCCGUGCUUAAUCCCCUAUGACACAUUCGUAAAGCUUCUUCAGAAUGUUAAAGGUACGGCGGUAAGCGAUGGGCUCGCGUCCUAUUAGCUUGUUGGUGGGGUAACGGCCCACCAAGGAGACGAAGGGUACCCGGGAUGAGAGGGUGAACGGUCACAUUGGAAAUGAGACACGGACCAAAACAGGAGGGGAGGGAGAAGUGGGGAAUAUUGCAAAAUGGAGCGAACUGUGAUGAAGCGACGCCGCGGGAGAGAGGAAGGAAGUCGUUACGUAAAGCUCUGUUCGAUGGGAAGAAAAGGACGGUACCAGAGGAGAAAGCACCGGCUAAAUACGUG